rnacentral:rRNA from 1 species
GGUCAAGCAAUGAAGCGCACACGGUGGAUGCCUAGGCAGCCAGAGGCGAUGAAAGACGUGGAAGCCUGCGAUAAGGCUCGGCGAGGUGGCAAACAACCUGUGACCCGGGCAUUUCUGAAUGGGGAAACCCACUCAUCAUCAGAUGAGUAUCCUGUACUGAAUCUAUAGGUACAGGAGGCGAACCAGGGGAACUGAAACAUCUAAGUACCCUGAGGAAAAGAAAUCAACCGAGAUUCCCCUAGUAGCGGCGAGCGAACGGGGACCAGCCCUUAAGCCGGUGACUGAUUAGGCGAACACGCUGGGAAGCGUGGCCGCAGCGGGUGAUAGCCCCGUAGCCAAAAAUCUGAUCCGGUGAAAUCGAGUAGGUCGGGGCACGAGAAAGCCUUGACUGAAGANCGGGGGGACCAUCCUCCAAGGCUAAAUACU